rnacentral:lncRNA from 1 species
UUUCAUUUCCUUAUUCGGUUUCUUUUUCCUUAUUUGAUUUUCAUUUCGUUAUUCGAUUUUCAUUACCUUAUUCGGUUUCUAUUUCCUUAUUCGGUUUCUUUUUCCUUAUUAGGUUUCUAUUUCCUUAUUCGAUUUUCAUUCCCUUAUUUGUUUCUUUUUCCUUAUUCGAUUUUCAUUUCCUUAUUCGGUUUCUUUUUCCUUAUUCGAUUUUCAUUUCCUUAUUCGGUUUCUUUUUCCUAUUUUCGGUUUCUAUUUCCUUAUUCGAUUUUCAUUUCCUUAUUCGGUUUCUAUUUCCUUUUUCGAUUUUCAUUUCCUUAUUCGUUUUCUAUUUCCUUUUUCGAUUUUCAUUUCCCUAUUCGGUUUGUAUUUCCUUUUUUGAUUUUCAUUUCCUUAUUCAGUUACUUUUUCCUUAUUCGGUUUCUAUUUCCUUAUUUGGAUUUCUAUUUCCUUAUUCGGUUUGCGGGAGAAAAUCGUUUCGUAGUGCCGGGACACUACAACUACCAUGGCAUGCAGUCGUUUUGUAUACUCAUUUUUCAAUUAUAUUUGUACAAAACAAUUAACAAGUGUUAGUACCAUGUAAUUUUCAGCAUGUUUUUAUCAAUUUAAUAUUGAGUUGAUAUCAAUUACGACACAAUUUGUCCACUACGAA